CAGCCGCCGCGGGAAUACAGAGGGUGCAAGCGUUAAUCGGAAUUACUGGGCGUAAAGCGCGCGUAGGUGGUUCGCCAAGUUGGAUGUGAAAUCCCCGGGCUCAACCUGGGAACUGCAUCCAAAACUGGCGAGCUAGAGUAUGGUAGAGGGUGGUGGAAUUUCCUGUGUAGCGGUGAAAUGCGUAGAUAUAGGAAGGAACAUCAGUGGCGAAGGCGACCACCUGGACUGAUACUGACACUGAGGUGCGAAAGCGUGUGGAGCGAACAGGAUUAGAUACCCCCGUAGUCCCUGUCUCUUAUAC
rnacentral:rRNA from 1 species